UACGUAGGGUGCAGGCGUUAAUCGGAAUUACUGGGCGUAAAGCGUGCGCAGGCGGUUUCUUAAGCCAGAUGUGAAAUCCCCGGGCUCAACCUGGGAAUGGCAUUUGGGACUGCAAGGCUUGAGUGCGGCAGAGGAGACUGGAAUUCCUGGUGUAGCAGUGAAAUGCGUAGAUAUCAGGAGGAAUACCGAUGGCGAAGGCAGGUCUCUGGGCUGACACUGACGCUCAUGCACGAAAGCGUGGGGAGCAAACAGG
rnacentral:rRNA from 1 species